GUACACGCUGUGACUAGCAUAUCAAUAAGCGGAGGAAAAGAAACUAACAAGGAUUCCCCUAGUAACGGCGAGUGAAGCGGGAAGAGCUCAAAUUUGAAAUCUUAAAGGGUUUCCCUUUACGAAUUGUAGUUUAAAGAAGUGUUUUCUGUUGAGGUUUUGGUAAAAGUUCUUUGGAAUAGGGACAUCAUAGAGGGUGAGAAUCCCGUAUUUGACCUUUACUUUCAACUUUGUGAUACACCUUUCAAAGAGUCGGAUUGUAUGGGAAUGCAGUCCAAAAUGGGUGGUAAAUUUCAUCUAAAGCUAAAUAUUGGCGAGAGACCGAUAGCGAACAAGUACCGUGAGGGAAAGAUGAAAAGAACUUUGAAAAGAGAGUUAAACAGUACGUGAAAUUGUCAAAAGGGAAGCGUUUGACACCAGUGUUGUUUUUCUGAAAAUCAAUUAAAGAACUGUUUAUGCUAAGCUGUUUAGACUUUAUCAGCUAUCUGUUUAGUUUUGAGCUUUUCUUUAAUGCACUUUUCAGUUAACAAGUCAACAUCAAUUUCCUUUUGCUGUAAAAAAGCUUGAGGAAGGUGGCUUGAGAUUCGUCUUAAGUGUUUAUAGCCUCUUGCCUAUGCAGGCGGAGAGAUUGAGGUCUGCAGCGUAGAUCCUUCGGGGCUAAAUGCAUUUGUGCUAAGUUAUAGCAUUUUAUAGACAACUUGUUGACUAUGAUUUAUCUUGUAGCUUACUCGCUUAUGUUAUUUUACCUACGCUUAGGAUGUUGAUAUGCAUGACUGAUAU
rnacentral:rRNA from 1 species